ACGAACGCUGGCGGCGUGCCUAAUACGUGCAAGUUGAGCGCUGAAGGUUGGUACUUGUACCAACUGGAUGAGCAGCGAACGGGUGAGUAACGCGUGGGGAAUCUGCCUUUGAGCGGGGGACAACAUUUGGAAACGAAUGCUAAUACCGCAUAAAAACUUUAAACACAAGUUUUAAGUUUGAAAGAUGCAAUUGCAUCACUCAAAGAUGAUCCCGCGUUGUAUUAGCUAGUUGGUGAGGUAAAGGCUCACCAAGGCGAUGAUACAUAGCCGACCUGAGAGGGUGAUCGGCCACAUUGGGACUGAGACACGGCCCAAACUCCUACGGGAGGCAGCAGUAGGGAAUCUUCGGCAAUGGACGAAAGUCUGACCGAGCAACGCCGCGUGAGUGAAGAAGGUUUUCGGAUCGUAAAACUCUGUUGGUAGAGAAGAACGUUGGUGAGAGUGGAAAGCUCAUCAAGUGACGGUAACUACCCAGAAAGGGACGGCUAACUACGUG
rnacentral:rRNA from 1 species